rnacentral:rRNA from 1 species
CUGAAAUAAUAUUUUAAAUGGCCGCAGUAAUUUGACUGUGCAAAGGUAGCAUAAUCAUUAGUUUUUUAAUUAAAAGCUUGUAUGAAAGGUUGGACGAGGUAAAUUCUGUCUUUAUUUAAUUUAAUUUAGAAUUUAAUUUUUAAGUUAAAAAGCUUAAAUAUAUUUAAAAGACGAGAAGACCCUAUAGAUCUUAAUAUUAAUUAUGAUAGAUUUAAUUAAGAAUAAUUAAUUUUUUAUUAUAAAAAAUAUUUUAUUGGGGUAAUAAAAAGAUUAAAUAAAUUCUUUUUUUAUUUUUACAUAGAUAAAUGAAUAUUUGAUCCAAUUUUAUUGAUUAAAAGAUUAAGUUACCUUAGGGAUAACAGCGUAAUUUUUUUAGAGAGUUCAUAUCGAUAAAAAAGUUUGCGA